AGCGAACGCUGGCGGCAGGCCUAACACAUGCAAGUCGAACGGAUCCUUCGGGAUUAGUGGCGGACGGGUGAGGAACACGUGGGAACGUGCCUUUUGGUUCGGAACAACUCAGGGAAACUUGAGCUAAUACCGGAUGUGCCCUUCGGGGGAAAGAUUUAUCGCCAUUAGAGCGGCCCGCGUCUGAUUAGCUAGUUGGUGGGGUAAAGGCUCACCAAGGCUACGAUCAGUAGCUGGUCUGAGAGGAUGAUCAGCCACACUGGGACUGAGACACGGCCCAGACUCCUACGGGAGGCAGCAGUAGGGAAUCUUGCGCAAUGGGCGAAAGCCUGACGCAGCCAUGCCGCGUGAAUGAUGAAGGUCUUAGGAUUGUAAAAUUCUUUACACCGGGGACGAUAAUGACGGUA
rnacentral:rRNA from 1 species